rnacentral:rRNA from 1 species
UGGCUCAGGACGAACGCUGGCGGCGUGCCUAACACAUGCAAGUCGAACGAAGCUUGACGAUAGAUUCUUCGGAUGAAAUCAGAUAUGACUGAGUGGCGGACGGGUGAGUAACGCGUGAGGAACCUGCCCUUUCGGAGGGGGAUAGCGUCUGGAAACGGACGGUAAUACCGCAUAAUGUAUUUUGAUGACAUCAUCGAAAUACCAAAGCUUUUGCGCCGAAGGAUGGCCUCGCGUCUGAUUAGAUAGUUGGUGGGGUAACGGCCUACCAAGUCGACGAUCAGUAGCCGGACUGAGAGGUUGAACGGCCACAUUGGGACUGAGACACGGCCCAGACUCCUACGGGAGGCAGCAGUGGGGAAUAUUGCACAAUGGGCGCAAGCCUGAUGCAGCAACGCCGCGUGAAGGAAGACGGUUUUCGGAUUGUAAACUUCUGUUCUUAGCGAAGAAUAAUGACGGUAGCUAAGGAGCAAGCCACGGCUAACUACGUGCCAGCAGCCGCGGUAAUACGUAGGUGGCAAGCGUUGUCCGGAAUUACUGGGUGUAAAGGGAGCGCAGGCGGGAAAGCAAGUCAGCUGUGAAAUCCAUGGGCUUAACCCAUGAACUGCAGUUGAAACUGUUUUUCUUGAGUGAAGUAGAGGUUGGCGGAAUUCCGAGUGUAGCGGUGAAAUGCGUAGAUAUUCGGAGGAACACCGGUGGCGAAGGCGGCCAACUGGGCUUUUACUGACGCUGAGGCUCGAAAGUGUGGGUAGCAAACAGGAUUAGAUACCCUGGUAGUCCACACUGUAAACGAUGAUUACUAGGUGUUGGAGGAUUGACCCCUUCAGUGCCGCAGUUAACACAAUAAGUAAUCCACCUGGGGAGUACGACCGCAAGGUUGAAACUCAU